AAGUUACUGCAUGGACUAGAGUAACGCCAUGGUAAGGCGUAAGUCAUCGGUUCAAAUCGCUUUGGCUUU
rnacentral:tRNA from 6 species